rnacentral:misc_RNA from 1 species
AGAAAACAAGGAAUUCAAGGAUUUGCCUCCGGAACGUGCUUUUGCAGAUUUUGUUCUCUGCAAUUUAGUGCUCCAUUUGGUGAUCAUGAACUUUCUUGGCUAGAUUGAGGCACCAAAUCUUGAAAAUGUUGCUCUUACAAAUCUUGGUGAUUUUUAUGUAAGAAUAAUAUAGAGUCAAUCGUAAAGGAUUUUGUUAGGCUUUCGGAAAUAUUAAGUUUCUCAUGCAUGAAACUAUUUUACAUUUAUGAAUCUUAUAUGAGUAUUAGUAAGUAGACAAUCUUUG